GCUAUGGCCUAGUGGUUAUAGCGUCCGCAUCGGAUGCGGGUGGUCGCGGGUUCGAUCUACGCUUGAGUA